rnacentral:tRNA from 1 species
AACAAAGAAGUAAAAUUUACAUUUAAUUUCGACUUAAAUUUAGGGAUUAAUUACCCAUGUUU